rnacentral:rRNA from 1 species
UUGGCGUGCUUAACACAUGCAAGUCGAACGAAGAGCGAUGGAAGCUUGCUUCUAUCAAUCUUAGUGGCGAACGGGUGAGUAACGCGUAAUCAACCUGCCCUUCAGAGGGGGACAACAGUUGGAAACGACUGCUAAUACCGCAUACGAUCUAAUCUCGGCAUCGAGGAUAGAUGAAAGGUGGCCUCUACAUGUAAGCUAUCACUGAAGGAGGGGAUUGCGUCUGAUUAGCUAGUUGGAGGGGUAACGGCCCACCAAGGCGAUGAUCAGUAGCCGGUCUGAGAGGAUGAACGGCCACAUUGGGACUGAGACACGGCCCAGACUCCUACGGGAGGCAGCAGUGGGGAAUCUUCCGCAAUGGACGAAAGUCUGACGGAGCAACGCCGCGUGAGUGAUGACGGCCUUCGGGUUGUAAAGCUCUGUUAAUCGGGACGAAAGGCCUUCUUGCGAAUAGUGAGAAGGAUUGACGGUACCGGAAUAGAAAGCCACGGCUAACUACGUGCCAGCAGCCGCGGUAAUACGUAGGUGGCAAGCGUUGUCCGGAAUUAUUGGGCGUAAAGCGCGCGCAGGCGGAUAGGUCAGUCUGUCUUAAAAGUUCGGGGCUUAACCCCGUGAUGGGAUGGAAACUGCCAAUCUAGAGUAUCGGAGAGGAAAGUGGAAUUCCUAGUGUAGCGGUGAAAUGCGUAGAUAUUAGGAAGAACACCAGUGGCGAAGGCGACUUUCUGGACGAAAACUGACGCUGAGGCGCGAAAGCCAGGGGAGCGAACGGGAUUAGAUACCCCGGUAGU